AUGACACCCUCUCCUCUGGAUGUUGAUGUCAAACCCUCCUCCAAGGUAACCAGACAAUCACAUUCAUACAGCUUUGCAAAACCUGUGUUUCUCAUUGUCCCAUUCACGCCCGUACAAUAUUUCAUUUUGUUUUGUUUUGUUUUGAAAAGUGUACAAUAUUUUCAUUUAAUGUGUGAAUUUUCUCCUAUACAAAUGGAGCCAGGUGCAGGUAAAACUUUGUGCUAUGAGGUAAAGGAAAUAAUUCUGGAGGAAACUAAGGUUCAUGUAUGGUUGAUCUUCCCACAAAUUUUGGAUUGGUGUCAUUUUAUUAAUAUAGUUAAUUGGUUCUUAUACAAAAUAUAA
rnacentral:rRNA from 1 species